rnacentral:lncRNA from 1 species
UGCAUUUCGUCAGCUAGUAACUGAGUAGUUUCUCAGAUCAGCAGGUAUAUCAGCAGGAUGAUAACUAUAAAAACUGUAUCAUCUGUAUGUGAGGUCCUGUGAUCGUCAUGAGGGCUCUGCCCCAAGAGCAAAAUAUCAAGUUCUUUUUUUCCCAGCAGUUACAGGUGGUGACAGUUGUUCCUAAUGCCAAGAAUCAUUUGCAACUACUACUCUUGUUGCUUAAGGCAGGACAAAGGUUGGACCAGCAUCAGAGAUAAAAUAAAGAGAGGCAAAAAGAGUUACUUGAAUUUGGCAUUCUGCAGUAAGCGAUACACAAGAAGAGUGAAAUGGAGGCCGAAGAUGGCACGUUUUAGAGACUUGAAGAAUAUGAUAUCUGACUUGAACUUGUCUCAACGCUGAGUUUGACAACAGUUUUACUCCUUGCAUGAUGUACAUGCUCACAGAUAUGGUAAGGGCACAUUACUGUCAGAGAGCUGU